UCCCAACCUCGCCUUCUCUGAAACCUAACCCCGAAUCCUGCCUCCUCCCCAAUUUUACUUCUCUGAAACCCCCCCACAGCGAUGGGGAAAGACGAAGAGAACAACGGUUUGAUGAGAAAUACUAAUUGGGGAAAGAGCAUGGCUACAGAUCUAUAGCCGCAGGGAAGCUGGUUCAACUUGAUUACUAGUUCGGAAUUUUUCGCUCCGCUAAUUCGUGCUCGAUCUCUGCGCCGCACCUGGUGGCUGGAUUCAAGUAGCUUUCGAGAAGAUGCUGAUGGGCAUUCUAGUAAUUGGAGUCGACUGCAACUCGAUUCAAUCCAUCGAAGGUGCAUUCUCCGUGCGGGAGAGUACUAGGGCCCCCAAGUAUAAGGACGUUAUUAAGAAACUCAUGGCGGAAGGUGGAUGCGGAGCUUUUGACAUGGUGCUACUCGAUGGCUAUAAGGGUAUUAAUGUCGCGUGGGUUAGGGAGGCCAUCAAUCAGAAUGCUCUAGACUCUAGUUUUUGAUUCCGUUAAGCUUGCUACGGAGGCUUUGGCUGACAAGGGAAGUUUUUUUACCAAGGUAUUGUAAUAUGUAUAUGUUUAAUAAUAUAUCUUGUUCUUAUGUAACUAUGAACGAGGUUAUUUUGAAGCAAUUAAAUGUCACGGCUCGAACCUUCAACAAUGGCAGCUCUUCACUGUAACACAGAGAAUGCACUGAACUUAGCUGAAAUAGCUAAGAUUAUAUCACUAAACAAAGAUAAAAAAGAGAAGGGGAAUAAGAUAAAAGAGAACUUUAGAAGAAAGAGAGGAGAAGUGUUGAACGAUUUCAACCGCCACUGAAAAUAUCAUGUUACCAAAGCUUCCAGAACCAUUUGCCCCCUUUCUGCAUCUAUAGGCUCAGCUGGAAGUCGUAUUACCAAAAAUGAAAUAAAGAAAACGUGUUUCAACAAAACAUAUUACAAUUUCAUUUAAUUCAAAACGGCACCGUAUGACUUUGAAUUCCAGUUGCUCUUCUUGGCUUCUUCUUUCCUUCUUCUAGUUCUGCUUCUUUUCCCUCCCCAAUUACUCUUCACGUGACAACCCUUCACCUCACCUUGAUCUUGUCCCCAAGAUCCACAGUAGGGAAACUGUAGUUUGAUCCAAUCGGUGUCUUCCCAGGUUUCACAAUCUAGAGUAGAAUUUGACCAAUGAAUAAGCCACUGGAUGGUGGUGUUAUUUUUUUACGAGUAAUGGUCCUGGACUGUAAGAUGGAUAAUGGAUGAUAUGUUGGUAGUUUAGACCGAUUCUCAUCAGGCAAUUGAAGUACUGGCAUUGCCCUGUCACCUAACUUCUUCUUGAACAAUGAAACAUGAAAGACUGGAUGAAUUCUGGAGCUGGCAGGAAGUGCCAAUUUGUAUGCCACCGUGCCUAUCUUCUUGGUAAUCUGAUAUGGUCCAAAGUAUCUAGCUCCCAGCUUGUGAUUUAUCCUGUGUUCCACUGAUUAUUGUGUGUAAGGAUGAAGCUUGAGGAAGACCCACUCUCCUUCAUUAAAAGACCUCUCAGAACGCUUCGUGUCAGCAUAUAGUUUCAUCUUUGCUCCUGCUUGUGCUAAGUUUUCUUUCAGCUGUUGAUUUAGUUGGUACCUAUGCUGUAGUAAUUCUUCGACUGCAGCCACAUUGGACUGCUGGUAAAGAUCUAAUGAGAGCUGAGGAGGCUUGAUCCCAUAAAGAGCUUCAAAGGGAGUCAUUCAGAUAGAGGAAUGAUAGGAGGUAUUGUACCACCACUCAGCUAAUGAUAACCACUUACCCCAUUGUUUAGGAUGUUGAAAAGUCAUGCACUGUAGGUACAUUUCAAGGCACUGCUUGAGUCGUUCUGUCUGCCCAUCAAAUUGAGGAUGGUAGGUAGAACUUAAAUGCAGCUGGAUACCCAUGAGUUUAAACAAUUCUUGCCAGAAUUUGCUUGUAAAUAUCUUAUCCUUGUUAGAAAUGAUGUUCUGAGGUAUGCCUUGAAGUUUAAAAAUAGAAUCAAGGAAAUUUUUGGCAAUUGUCACGGCUGUGAAUGGAUGCGGAAGUGCCAAGAAAUGACCAUACUUUGUAAAUCUGUAGACCACCACUAAUAUAGUAUCUUUACCUCCUGAAUUAGGCAAUCCUUCAAUGAAGUCCAUACUAAUGUGGCUCCAAGCAUGUAGAGGCACAGGAAGAGGCUUUAACAAUCCAGGGUAAGGCACAUUCUCCCCUUUACACUUCUGGCAGAUUUCACACUGGAGACGUCAGUUUUGAUGUCUCGGUUCAUGCCAGGCCCGUAAAAAUGUUGCUUUGCUUUGUAGAUGCUGCCAUUAUGCCCUCCUUCUUGAGACCCAUGAAUAUUCUGAAUUAGUUUAGAUUUGAUAUUACCCCCUGAACCUAUGUAUAACCUGCCUUUAUACUUCAAAAUAUUGUUGAGGUAUAGGAAGUCUGGAUCUGCUGUUGAAUUUAAGAUGACUGACUGGAUUUUCUCCCUAGCAAAGUUGUCCUCCUUGUAGCUAUCAAUAACUCUUGUAUCCAAGUGGGAAUAAAAGUGGUGAUUCCCGCACACUCCACCUCUUUCUCAUGCCUCCUUGACAAUGCAUCAGCUACUAAGUUAUCAAUUCCUCGUUUAUACAAUCUUUCAUAACUGAGUCCCAACAAUUUAGUGAGCCAUUGCUGUUGAAGAGGGGUUGUAAUCCUCUGUUCUAAAAGAUAUUUGAGAGAUUGGUGGUCAGUCUUUAUGAUGAAGUGGUGGCCCUCUAAAUAAUGUCUCCAUUUACUAACAGCAGUGACUAAGGCUAGUAGUUCCUUUUCGUAUAUUGACAUACCCCUGUUCCUGAUUCCAAUAGCUUUGCUUAGGUAAGCUAGAGGCCUUCUGCCUUGCAUUAGCACAGCACCAAUUCCACUUUGGCAAGCAUCGGUUUCAAUGAUAAAGGGUUGAUGGAAAUCAGGUAAAGCAAGCACAGGCGUUGAACUCAUGGCUUGUUUUAAUCCUUCAAAGGCUAAAUCUCCAGCCUCUGUCCGUUGAAAAUUGUCUUUCUUAAUCAUAUCUGUUAAUGGCCUGGCUAUCACCCCGUAACUCUUGACAAACUUCCUGUAAUACCCAGUCAACCCUAGGAAGCCCCUCAAUUGUUUGAUAUUCCUAGGUUUAGGCCAUAGCUGCAUUGCUUCCACGUUGCUGGGAUCAGCAGAGACUCCUUCUUUGCUAAUAAUAUGACCUAGGUACUCAACCUUCAAUUGCCCAAAACUGCACUUGGACCUCUUGGCAUAUAGUUGAUGUUUCUAUAAUAUCCCUAUUACUGAUUCUAGAUGUUGGCAAUGAGAGGAUAGAUCAGUGCUGUACACUAAAAUAUCAUCAAAAAAUACUAAGACGUAUCUCCUCAGCUGGUCCUUGAAUACCUCAUUCAUGAGGCUUUGGAAGGUAGCGGGUGCAUUGGUGAGGCUAAAGGGCAUCACCUUGAUCUCAUACAGCCCUUGUUGUGUUUUAAAUGAAGUCUUAUGAACAUCUCUUUCAGUAACCCUUAUAUGAUGAUAACCUGCUCUAAGAUCAUUUUUCGAAAAAAACUUCGCUCCAUGAAGUUCAUCUAAUAGUUCAUCAAUAAGUGGCAUUGGGAAUUUGUCCUUGAUUGUUAAGGCAUUCAACUGCCUGUAAUCAACACAGAAUCUCCAAGUCCCAUCUUUCUUCUUGACAAGGAGUACAGGUGAGGCAAAAGGACUAUUGCUUGCUUGUAUAAUCCCAGAUUCCAGCAUUUCUUUAAUCAACUUUUCUAUCUCUGUCUUCUGAAUGAACGGACACCUGUAGGGUCUUAUUUUAAAAGGCCGGGCACCUUCUUUAAGAGGAAUGUGGUGGUCAUGUGAUCUUGGUGGAGGCAGCCCUUUUGGUUUCUUAAACACCCCCUAGAAUUGAUGGAUUACUUCCAGUAGUUUGCUAGGUACCACCUCUUUGGGUUUUUCCUCUUUAGGGGCAUAUAAUUGUCCCAUAACUCCAUAGUGAUUCUUGUCCAUUAUCCUUUCCAUCGCUUGUGCCUCUAUCAUGUCCACUGAUAAUUUUGAUACUUCAUCUCUGAACUUCACCUCAGUGUUCUGUCUCUUGAACUUCAUAACCCUCAGCAAAAUCAAAUUCAAUAGGGCCAAAUUGGUUCAUCCAAUUCACUCCCAAAACCAUGUCACUUCCUGCCAACUUAAGGGUCCUAAGCUUUUAUUGGAAUUCCCAACUUUGAAUCUUCCGUACCACUGGUUGACAAAUGGCUUUACUUUCUAGUUUAUCCCCAUUUGCUACCCUGACAGUUACUUUGUUGGACUCUUCAGUGUUGUAUUUCAACUCUCUAGCCAAUGUCUCAUCUAAAAAACUAUGAGUGCUCCCAUCGUCUAUUAAGGUGGAUAUUAUUUUUCCCCCGAUGUUUCCUAGUACCUUGAUGAACGAUUUCAACAAUACCACUGAAAAUAUCAGGUUACCAAAGCUUCCAGAACCAUUUGUCCCUUUUCUGUAUCUAUAGGCUCAGCCGGAAGUCGUAUUACCAAAAGAAAAUAAAGAAAACGUGUUUUAACAAAACAUAUUACAAUUUCAUUUAAUUUAAAACGGCACCGUAUGACUUUGAAUUCCAGUUGCUCUUAUUGGCUUCUUCUUUCCUCCUCCUGGUUCUGCUUCUUUUCCCUCCCCAAUUACUCUUCACGUGACAUUAAAAUUGACUCUAAUUCCAGACUUGGAUACUUAAUUAUAGCUUUAAAAGUUUAAUGUUAAUGGUUUAUUGUAUUUAGAACACAUAAGCACUCUAAUAAAUAUUUUAUGUUUGAAAAGGUGAUACUUGCGAAUUAGUUGAUGCAAUUUGUGUAAGCAAUUUGCAAACAUAGGAUUUGAAAGUUUUAGGUGUUUCUGGAAUGAAUUAAGCUAUUUGCAAAGUUGAAGAAAAUUUAUGGAUUUUUGGAGUUUAUUUUGUGCGCCUGCAGGUAAGGUUGUGCAACGGGUGUCAUGUUUCUUACAAGCAAACUAGUGGCUUUCAGUGUUCCUUAUGUCCAUACUUGCAAAUAUAUUGGGUUCAGUGUCAUGUUCCACAAGUGAAUUUGGGUAUCUUGGCUGAAACUUAUUCUGGAUUUGAAUUCCUUUCUAAGUUUUGUACCGUUCUGGUUCCCUGCACGCAUACAAGACAGCAACUGCUGAUGUUUACAUUUAGCUUUUGCAAUCACUAUUUUCUUGGGGUAUUAUGACUGAGGAAAUGUAUUUGUCAAUUUUUGAACCAAGAAUUGUUUCUCUUUGAUCCUCACAUAGACAUUCCCCUCUCAGGGAAACGAAGCUCUUUAGGAUUUAUUAUUUAUUAUGAAAUAUUACGUUGCACUUUUUCUGAUGUGUCUCCAUGUAGCUUCACAAAAUCACUACUCAAGUCAACCUUGUCAAGUUGGAAAUGAAUGCAUGACGUGUCUGUUGUUGCCUUGUAGGUCCUCAGAUCCGAUAUUGUAGUGGUAAACUUUUCUUAGUCAGGUAAUCUUAUUUCCUAUGAAGCGAACCCAAAAGCAUCCGUUCUGAUUGAAGGCACAUUAUCACCUUUGUAUUUGGUAUACAGCUCUUUGAAAAAGUUGAAGUGUGUAACUGAAAAGAUAACUUUAGAGGAGAAUUUUAUGCUGUCGAGUUGAAGUAUAAGGCACCUGCUAAAAUGAUCCUGAUCUUCUAUCCAUAGAGCAUCUGUUACGAGAUAAAGAGCAUCAAAAGGUAGUCCAAUCCCUCCACAUUAUCUGCAUGUUAUCUUUCUAUCUUAUAGAAUCAAUAUGUUCAGGUAGUGGAUGCAUUUAGAGUAAAGAAGCAAAAGCAAUACCGUGAUGAGUAUAUUUUCUUCUCGCUAAUAAUUCAUAAAAUCUGCAACUCUCAGCCAAAAACAUUGUUGCUUGCUUGACAUAUAGAAGAAAAUUUUAGUUUAUAUCUGAGCUCAACUGAAUAUGGUCUUUUUGCGCAUCAUGGAGUAUUGGUGUUGUGAUCACGACAUAUCAAACUAAGCUAGUGUGUAGAGUCUAGAGAAAAAUCUAGUAGAGUGAUCUUUUGCACUUUUAUCCCUUUUGCAGUCUUAUCAAUUCAUCGGGAUAUACCACAUACAUGUUUCUUAAGCUCAUACAGGACAAAUCCUUCACUCAAGCCUACUACUAUCACUAGAUUCCCAGACUGCUAUACGUGUUUAAUAAUAUGAAAUUAUAUCUUAUUGAAAUCCUUUCUACUUACUGCACUCCAACGAAACUUACCUAGACACUCUACGUUAUCUCUUUCUUUCUUUCUUUCUUUUUUUUUUUUUUUUUAUAUAAUCAAUAAAAUUCGUUUGCAAAUCAUGUUUCUUUUGUGUGUAAUUUUUCUUGAAUCUCGUGACUGGGGUUCAUAUAAAUAUAAGUUCAUGUUUUUAUAUAAAAGUAUUUACUAGGUUCACUUUUUAGGCAUGAAGAUGGUAAUGCAACUUUGAGGAAAGUCUGCUCUGUAGGAUUUUGUUUGGUCCAGCUAUUUACUUUAGAAGCUUGGUUUAGUUACUUCUAAAGCUUUUGAGAUGUAUGUAUGUUUAUAUAUUAAGGAUAAAGAUGAAGAGAUGUUGCUUCCUCUUUUGUGAAUUGCUUUCUCUUUUCUUCUAUUUAUAUUCUUAUUAUGCAAGUGUUGUUAUAGUAGCUCUUAUUGUGCUGCUUUUGUAUUUUUGAAUUUUUUUAUUCAUUUGACUCAAGCACGACCCCUAAAAUUCUUUCACAUGACAUGCACGACCCCUAAAAUUCUUUCACAUGACAUACUUCAUCAACUCUGCCUCCCUCUCAUUCCUCUGCUUAACAUCCACCAUCAUCGAUUUAGUGAUCCCUCUCCAUUCUUCUCUCAACUUCUUCAUCCUCCUCUCCUCAUGUCCCCAUAUUCAUUUCCACAUACAUCGUUGCUUCAAUACUCAUAGAUGCAAUCAUCUCCUCCAGUGUUUCAUUUGUUUAUACAAGUCCAUAGCCUCGCACCGUCCAAAGGAUCUCAUUUUUCCCUUAAAAUCAAGGGAAUGCAUGUACUUUGACUACAUCUUCAAAUGUGUGUGAUUGAUUGCCCAUUUUAGCAAUUUUAUCCUCAAAUUUUAGAAGAUCAUCCAUUGUAGAGCGCUCUUUUAGAUUUUAAUGAUAUAGGCAUAAUGAGAGAUUGAAUUUUCAAUGGAUGGUCUUAUAAGAUUUGAGGAUAAAAUUGCUACAACGAGCAAUCAAUCUCACACAUAUGAAGAUUUAGUCAAAGUACAUGCAUUCCCUUGAAUUUAAGGGAAAAAUGCGACCCUUUGGGAUGGUGCGAGGCUAAGGACAUAUAUAGACAAAAUGAAACACUGAAGGAGAUGAUUGCAUCUAUGGGUAUUGAAACAACGGUGUAUGUGGAAAUGAAUCUGGGGGUAGGAGGAGAGAAGAAUGAAGGGGGAUCACUAAAUCGAUGAUGAUGGAUGUUAGGUAGAGGGAGGCAGAGCUGAUGAGGAGGCAGCUGGACACAUAAGUAUGCCGUGAAAUAAUUUUGGGAGUUGCGCUUUAGAAAUGAGUCAAAAUGAAUAAAAAAAAUUAUGAAAGCAGCACUAUAACAACAUUUGCAUAAGAAUAAUAGAAAAGAGAAAGCAAUACAUCUUUAUCCUUAAUGUAUAAACAUGUCAAAGACUUUGGAAAUAACUAAACCAAUCUUCUUAAGUUAAUAUUUGUGCUGCACAUUUUUUGACCAGCAAUCCCACGUCCAAAGAACAAUUUAGGCUCGGUAGGAAAAUUUGGCAUGAAGAUUAACUUACCAAGGCUUUGCAGUUAUUCUCAAAGCAUUCAAUUUAUCCAAGGGAUCAUAAUCUAGUAACAUCAUUUAUGCCUUUCCACGUGCAAUACUCUUUCAGGUGACUAUCUAGAAACUUGCAGAUAUGAGAUGACUGGUUUAGGAUACAAUUCUCUAAGCACCAUGAUGAACAGCUUACUGAGCACCCUUUUCAUGCAUAAUUUUGAGACAAAGGUGCACACAUAUUUUGAAAGCAAGGUAAAUACACCAGAUCACCACCAAGUUUGAAUCGCUUCUAUGUAAGCUAUAAGUCUAGACACAGCUGUAAUUUGAAUAGUAUUUUCAUCUUUAUUCACUUAUGUCUCUUUUCAUUGAACAUUUAGUUAGUUUUCAUCUCGAUGGAAGCAUAAUAUUUCAAGUCGACAAAUUUGCCACCUC
rnacentral:lncRNA from 1 species